CCAGGGGGAAGGGGAAGUGGACCAGAUGCUCUCCGAGCCCUAUCUAUUACAAGCCAAGAGGUGUACACAUACCCCAUAAAACUUAAAGGGGAAGGGGAAAUGGACAAGAUGCUCUCCGAGCACUAUCUAUUACAAGCCAAGAGGUGUACACAUACCCCAUAAAACUUAAAUAAAAUUAAAAGCAAGUAAAUGCAUGUAAGGAGGUAAGGAAAGCGAAAUAGACAGGCAUAUUCACAUAACACGUAGGAGCACAUAGGAAAAAUAAAAUCAAGAAUAUAGAAGUUACCUCCCUUGCAAUGGAAAUCGAGUAGAUGAGAUAUUAGCUUCAAAACAAUAAAAAGGUCAAGGUACCAAUUUAUUUGGCAAAAUCACAAAGGAUGGAAAAUAAGCAUGAAUUUGAAUCAAUUAAAUCAUGUAGACAAUUCACAUUUAAAAAGUCAAGAGAAGAAGGGACUUAAUUGCAAAAAUGAACAAAGUUUUGGGGUCAAAAUUAAAGAAAAAUAAAGUUCAGGGACCUAUUUGCAAUUAAUUAAGGACCGAAUUGAAAGAAGUUGAAAAUGUCCAGGGCCACAGUACGAUUAAGGAGAAAUUCAGGGACUGAUUUGCAAAAACGUUUUCUGGUUUCCUAAUGGAUCAGGCCAUUGGGCCAUAUUUCCUUAUUUGCUUGGGCCAAAACAUUCCAGGCCC
rnacentral:lncRNA from 1 species